GCUGUUGUUCGUCUAGAGGAUAGGACACCUGCGCAACGAGCGGGAAACGUGGGUUCGACUCCCACACGAUGGCU
rnacentral:tRNA from 1 species